UUCUACUGGCAGGAAAUAAUGGGUGGCCCAUGUUACCUUUUUUGUCUUUUUUUUUUUUUUUUGCCAAAAAGCCCUAAUGCCAACGUUGCAGUCCCGCUGUGGGAACCACCCAUCUCAGGCUCACUGGCCCUUCUGUUUCUGGGCUGUUGCAGUGUUGUGUUGGGAUAACUGUGUUAACUUCGUUUGAAUUUUCUUCCUGUUCCUUUGGAAUAAGUGUCGAUAGCUUGUGCUGCUUGUUCACCCCAGAGGCAAGGGUGUCCUUUAGGCCUGGCAGAGCACAGCGGUGCAGGGAGGUGCUGGGCCUCGGCCUCCCUUGUCCGCAGCCUCCCUUGUCCGCAGCCCUCACUGCACGUCUGCUCUUCGCUCCUCGUGCACACGGCCGGGGUCACGGGCUGCUCACUCUGCUGUUUGAGAUCGUCUGAAAAGGUGAUGCUUACACUGAAGGGAGAUUGGGGGUGUGCGGCUGAUUUUAAAUAGGAGGAAAUGACGGUAACAGAAUGAGCAAUGCCUAGCACUUAGUCUCAGGCCUGAGAAAUUGUGUUUUAGAAGCAAGGUAUCCUCAACUCCGGUUUUCUUCAAAUUAAAUCUUUUAAAGGGUCCACAAAUAACAAAUAGUUAAAGCCUAAAACUAUGUAACAGAGGGCCUAGAGCCCAAGCCACUGCCACCUCUGAUUCCAAGACACCUCAGCAACUUGGUCCUCUUCCUCAGAGAACCCCGCUUCUGCUCCUCCCUCCACGCUCCUCUUCCUCUCCCUGCCCCUCCCUUUCCCUUGGACAGCCCUCCCCUUCCCCCACUUCCUCGGACAGCUUUCUUCCUCCUCUUCUCCCUGCCUGUCCUUGGGCAACCUCCUUGGAACUCCGGUUGAAAUUCACUGGUCUGUGGGGCCGCCCAUUUGACAGACGAGCAUGCUGAGGCCAAGGCACAAGUGAGUGACUCAGACCCGCGCAGAGGCUGACCCAGAGGCCGUACCAACGGGUUGUCACUAAUGCAAGAGAAGCAAUGAUGCGGCUUCACUGAUCUCCAGGGAAAGCAGGUCGAUAACAGGUUAUAAACAUGGGAACAUUUUGGAAAAGCCGUCGUCCACCUGUCAGCUCCAUCUCUCCUGCCCGGAAGAUGUAGGGAGAACCUGCCUUCAGCCCACCCUCAUCCCGUAACAGGACAGAGGACAAGGGCAGAGACCCAAGUCCUGUCAGUGCCCUCAGGAAACCCCCGUUUCCUCCUCACGGUGGAAGUGGAAACCAUCCCGCUGGAUGAUCUUCCCGGGGAGACCCUCCACCCUCAAAGCGAGGAAUCUGGUGUGAGCGCACACACAUUCUUGGUGCCAUCACUUUCUGCAGCUGAACACUGCGUACGUGGCCCGUUAUUCUUGCUAGUCCGGUGUUACUGGGUCCUGGGAGUUUCUGUGGGCUGAUGGCAAGUGUUUACCAUUGUGUUUAGAGAGAACAGAACUUUUUUGUGUCGAAAUCACAUGAUAACCAUUGCCAUGUGAUUCCUUGGGUUGAUUGGGGCGGGGGAUGCUCAAGUUUUUUCUGAGGUCUAAGUGCUUGUUUGAGACAGUCUCACUUUGUCACCCAGGCUGGAGUGCAGUGGUGCGAUCUUGGCUCGCUGCAACCUUUGCCUCCUGUGUCAAGCAGUUCUCCCUGCCUCAGCCUCCCAAGUAGCUGGGAUUAUAGGUGUGUGCCACCACGCUUGGCUAAUUACAAAAAUUUCUAAUACAGGAAGGGUUUUGCCGUAUUGGCCAGGCUGGUCUCGAACUCCUUACCUCAAGAGAUCGGCCCACCUUGGCCUCCUAAAAUGCUGGGAUUACAGGCUUGAGCCACUGUGCCCGGCCCGAUCCUGACAUCUUUUAAAGCUGCCUUCAUGUACCAAAAGCCAGUCUAUGUUUGAAAAUCAGCCUUGUUGAAGAGCCUAAGAGGAGAGGGAUAUACUUCAGCUAGGUAAAUAACUAUGCAUAUGUUAAAAAUAUGGGCCAAAAUCUAUCCCAAAUAUUAACUCUUCUGCUUUGCGUUUUAUAUCCAUUAAUGGUUAUUCUUUCAGUAUUAAGAUUUUUAAAGAUUCUUUUGAUAAUUGUGAACAAAUUACUAUUAAAACUCAGCUGCAUUUGUAACACUUUAAAGAACUAACUGAUGACAUUAUUUUUCUCGGAGGCAUUUUGGAUAGUUACAUAAUUGUUUAUCUCUUAGCCAGAAGUCUUUUUUUUUUUUUUCCAGAGCAGAAACCUGAAAAGAAACAUUCCUUUGCAUUAAGUGCUAUUUCACUGUGUGACAAUCAAGUUUUGAAUGUGAGAACAAGAUCAUCGUGUAUUUUUGGGAUAAUUCUUGCUUAAUAGUGAUAAUGCUGAGUGUUAAAAUUAUGGAACAGUUUGUUUCUUUGAAAAUUACUAUUUGCCUGCUCACCAGAUGGGAGCUGAUGAGAAUGUGGAUGUAAAAAUUAAAUUGUAUUUAGCUUGUAUAAAAGAAGUUUAAAAAAGCUUUUUUUGUUUUGUGCUACUACUGAAGUUGCUUAGCUGUGGAAAUGAGGUGAUUGCAGGCACCUAGAAUUUGAUCUCCUUCACUUCCACGAUGGGAAGAAAUUCUCCAAGAAGCACAGGAAUCUGACUUUCUGAUAUUGAGACUCCUAGGCGUCAAGCCCCAUGGAAGGGGUGGUGAUUACAUGAGCGUUGGCGUUGAUGUGGGCAUCCUCCAAGCCGGACGCAGGGAGCAGGGAAGGGCAGAAAGAACAGGCCCCUCAGGAGCCAUGAGAAAAUAAAGUGUUGGCAGCAGUGGUGAGGGUUGGUGUCAGGGGCCAGGAAGAGGUGGCGAAGGGGGAGCAUGUGCCUCAAGGCAGCCCUGGAACCCGCAGUCCCUGCAGUGAGGUCUGAUCUGCAGGGGACAUGGACGGCCAAGCGGCAAGGCCCACAGACAGCCUGGACUCUGCUGCCUCAGAACUCUGGUGGACGUUGCAAACGGCCCCACAGGGUUGCAGUGCACAUUCCUCGGACAGAAAGAAGACGCUUGGAACUGUUCCCGGCACGAAGCCAGUGCCCUGUGAACAGUGGCUGCUGCUGUCGUGACUGAGUGCCGUCCAACUGGGGACAUUUGCUCUGCUCAGUUCACUGCCUUCAACAAGCUUGACGCAUUGAACGAGGGCUCAGUCGAUAAUGUACUCUGUAAAUACUCUCUCCCGGCUAGAGUGAGCAAAGCCCAGGGAGCGGGUGGUUCUUCAGUAUUACUCAGGUGUUUGUGGCAGGGCCAGCUGUGCGGCUGCCAGAGCGAAUGUGACCAGGAAGCCUCUGUCCCCCCGAGGUGGCCAGCGAUCCUGUUACAUGUGCCAUAGGCAGAAGAUCUAUACAACCUGGCGUUUGGCCGUGGCUUCCAGGACAGGCUGGAUGCAGAGUGAAGUCCUCUCCUCACUGUCAAUGUUUGCAGAUGUCUUCUUGUAUAAACUUCGUAUUUCUUGAGACUUUCAAUUAGGUUUUUACUUAACUGGACUUUUAAAAUUGCCAUGCACAUAACUCUACCAGUUACAAUCUUGAGCUAACAUGGGUUUUUGGUUUUUGGUUUUUGGUUUUACUUUGAUGAAUGUUUAACAUUUGCAUGCUGGAUGUGGGGGUGGAGGUCAUUUAUCUGCUUUUCAUUGCCUUCUUGGUUAUACUUAGUGACUUUCAGGUAAGGUGUGGAAGGCGUGGUACAGGGUGAAUUGCAGGCCGCACUGUGGCGCCGUGGAGGACAGGUGCGGGCUGCAGUGGUGUGCACAGUGGAUGAGAGACAAGAGGAGACUUCCAUCCUUGAGGGAAACACACAACAAUUUAAAAAACUGAUCGUCUAGCUUACAUGAGGUCCAACAAAUUCAGUUUGCAAAGUUUAACUUCCAAGUUAAUUUAGUAAUUUUUCCCCUAAGUCAUUAAUUUAGUAGCUUAUGUUUAAAUAUAUUUCUUUUGUCUAAAGGAGGCCAUAAAUUCUAAAAUGAAUGACUAAACAUGUAAUAAUUUAGGCAUACAGCACCUGAAGGGAAAACUGCCAGUAUGCUACAAUAUUGGAUACAGAUGCUUUUAAAAAAUAUAAUGUAGCAUUCUUACAA